UUGAAAAUCAACUAUUCAAGCCCAUUAAUGACAUUAUUGUUGCCCACUGUUCUCAUCGUCCUGGCUGAUUUUGUCAGCUUUGCCCUGCCGCUGCAUGGAGGUGGACGCAACGGGUUUAAGGUCACUCUGGUGCUCAGCUUCGUCAUGUUCCUCAACCUGCUCAACAGUCAGCUCCCUGGAAAUGGGGACUGUAGCCCCAUAAUACGUGAGUCCCCUGUGAAGAAUCAGACCCUUUUCUUUUCCUCAUCCCUCCCCAUCCAAUCAUCCUUGUGCGUGCCACAGGAAUCCACUUUUGCAUUUGCUUGGUCUUGUUGGUGCUGAGCAUGCUGGUGUCCAUGGUGCUGACUCGUUUGGCCCAUGAUGGGAGCCUCGCGUUCUUCUCCCCGUCAAAACGCCAGGCACCACAAAACACAAAAGACAAUGAGAAGAAGGAUGAGGAAGAGCUGAAAGCAGACAUCCAUGUCGUUCUGCCCGAUGGCCCAGAAGACGUUCAGAUGCUCAGAAAAGUGGUGACGUUCCUUCAACGUCUUGAUGACCAGAAGAACCAGAAUGAACGUAAACACGCAUUUGCUGACAAACUGGACAAAAUCUUCUUUUUGUUUUAUGUCAUUUUGGGGCUAAUCUAUAUGUGUGUUAUGCUUGGUAUAAUGGUAGCUUAUAAAUGCGAGAUUGAUCAUUUUAAUUUCUGGUACUGAUACAGCCAAGUUCUUGCUAACCUCUAAUUUAGUAUACACUGACGCUGACAAAGAAGAUGGAACAGAUAAGAAACUUAGACUCAAAGAUUGUACCUCUAGAAUUUCACUAGUUACAUUUUCGUUGUCAUUAAAAAAGAAAAAUAGAAAAUAAAGAUGGGAUUUUCGGCUAGAAGCAGUUCAUAUUAAUGAAAUCACUAAGUCAAUCUUUCUCUUUAACACACACAAUAUUUUAUGUGUCCUUUUGAUGUAGUUGCAUCCUUUUAUAUGGUUCCAUUUGCUGCCAGAGCCUAAUUUUGCACCAGGAGUUUUCAAUCUCGUUAAUUAAUAGCAAAAUAGCAGAUGCAUGGUAUAUCAGCUUAUAAAAAGGAAAAAUGUAAAAAUCAAAUUUGUACUUGAGGUUUUAUGUACAGUUAGAUCCCAUUUAAGCGACACAAUAAAUUAAACCCUUUUUGUUUCAACCUGAAAUGUUAUAAAAUAUAGAAUACCCAAAGGCCAGAAUAAGAGAUAAACACAUUUCUUUGUUAAUUAUGUCAAUGCAUAUUUUUAAACAUUGACAUUUAUUACUUUAUACAGCAUUUACACUUAUUAAAACCCUUUUGUUUUAUCAUGCAUCUGUUUUAUUAUAACAUAUUUUAUAUACUUUGAAACUUAAAAACCACUGACAAAAACAACAGUUGUGACAUUUUUUUGUCGUUCUCUUACAAUUUGGCUUUAAUCCUUUUUUUUGUUUUGCCACAAUGACUUUACAGGUGUUUGUGCAUGGAUGUGUAAAGAGCUGUCGUGUUUCUUUCGUAUUCUAUUAAUUUCAAUGUGAUAUUUAAUUGCACGUGUGUGAGAUUUUUAAAAUUCUCAUUGAUUUUAUGCAUUAUGGUUUUAUGGUCUUGAUCUUUUGUUUGCUGACUCAUCGUACUUAUUGUAAUGUCAUGCACCUGCAACUUGGGAAGGGUGCAGGUCACCGAUCUGUUUUUUAAAUUAGUUUUUUUUUAUUCCAAAGUAGCAUAGGCAAAAAA